rnacentral:rRNA from 1 species
AUACGAAGGGGGCUAGCGUUGUUCGGAAUUACUGGGCGUAAAGCGCGCGUAGGCGGAUUGGUUAGUUAGGGGUGAAAUCCCAGGGCUUAACCCUGGAACUGCCUCUAAUACUGCCAGUCUUGAGUUCGGGAGAGGUGAGUGGAAUUCCUAGUGUAGAGGUGAAAUUCGCAGAUAUUAGGAAGAACACCAGUGGCGAAGGCGGCUCACUGGCCCGAUACUGACGCUGAGGCGCGAAAGCGUGGGGAGCAAACAGGAUUAGAUACCCGAGUAGUCC